rnacentral:rRNA from 1 species
UACAGAGGUCUCGAGCGUUAGGCGGAAUCACUGGGCUUAAAGCGUGUGUAGGCGGAUCGUUAAGUGCCUUGUGAAAUCCCACGGCUCAACCGUGGAACUGCUUGGCAUACUGGCGGUCUUGAGCAACCUAGGGGCGAGCGGAACAAAUGGUGGAGCGGUGAAAUGCGUAGAUAUCAGGAGGAACACCGGUGGCGAAGGCGGAUCUCUGGGCCGAUACUGACGCUGAGGAGCGAAAGCGUGGGGAGCGAACAGG